CAUCUUUUCUUGUUAGUUUUUGAAGUAUGGCCUGCCCACUGACUUAGAGUUGAAGGGCCGCGGUAUUUUGACCGUGCAAAGGUAGCAUAAUCAUUAGUUCUUUAAUUGUGAUCUGGUAUGAAUGGCUUGACGAGACAUAAGCUGUCUUAGAGGUAUUGGUUUAUUGAAUUUGGUUUUUGAGUUAAAAUUCUUAAAUGUUUUUAUGGGACGAGAAGACCCUAUAGAGUUUGACAAUUUUCCUAUUUAUUCGUUGUUUGUGUUAUAUUUACAUUGAGUGGGAGUGAAUUGUUUUGUUGGGGUGAUGGGAGGAAUAUUAUUUAACUCCUCUUUGAUUUUUAUAUAUUUAUGUAUAUAUUUUUGAUCCAUUUAUUUUGAUUAUAAGAUUAAAUUACCUUA
rnacentral:rRNA from 1 species